GGUCGGUUAGCUCAGUUGCUCCGGAGCGUGGCGCUAAUAACGCCAAGGCCACGGGUUCAAUCCCCGUACGGGCCA